AUUGAACGCUGGCGGCAGGCCUAAUACAUGCAAGUCGAGCGGACGAAGGGGGCUUGCUCCUGGCUUCCGCGAGCGACGGGCGAGUAAUGCAUAGGUAUAUGCCUGACCUAGGGGGCUAACGUCCGGACACGGGCGCUGAUACCAUAUACGUCCAGAUGGUGAACGUGGUGGUUCUUUGGACAAAAAGCUUUCUGCUGACCCUAGGUCGGAUUAGCUAGUUGGUUUGGUAAAGGCCUACCAAGGCGACGAUCCGUAACUGGUCUGAGAGGAUGAUCAGUCACACUGGAACUGAGACACGGUCCAGACUCCUACGGGAGGCAGCAGUGGGGAAUAUUCGACAAUGGGCGAAAGCCUGAUGGAGCAAUGCCGCGUGUGUGAAGAAGGUCUUCGGAUUGUAAAGCUCUGUUAGUUGGGAGGAAGAACAGUGAGAGUAUACAUGCCUGUUUUGACGGUACCAACAGAGAAAGCAACGGCUAACUACGUG
rnacentral:rRNA from 1 species